GCUCAACUGUAAAAUUGCCAUUGAUACUGGGUUUCUUGAAUUAGUGUGAAGUGAUUAGAAUGUGUAGUGUAGCGGUGAAAUGCAUAGAUAUUACACAGAAUACCAAUUGCGAAGGCAGAUCACUAACACUAUAUUGACGCUGAGGGACGAAAGCGUGGGGAGCGAACAGGAUUAGAUACCCUGGUAGUCCACGCCGUAAACGAUGGAUACUAGCUGUUCGGUCUUCGGAUUGAGUGGCUAAGCGAAAGUGAUAAGUAUCCCACCUGGGGAGUACGUUCGCAAGAAUGAAACUCAAAGGAAUUGACGGGGGCCCGCACAAGCGGUGGAGCAUGUGGUUUAAUUCGAUGA
rnacentral:rRNA from 1 species